rnacentral:rRNA from 1 species
CACGUAGGGUGCGAGCGUUGUCCGGAAUUAUUGGGCGUAAAGAGCUCGUAGGCGGUGUGUCGCGUCGGCCGUGAAAACUUGGGGCUUAACUCUGAGCGUGCGGUCGGUACGGGCAUCACUUGAGUUCGGCAGGGGAGACUGGAAUUCCUGGUGUAGCGGUGAAAUGCGCAGAUAUCAGGAGGAACACCGGUGGCGAAGGCGGGUCUCUGGGCCGAUACUGACGCUGAGGAGCGAAAGCAUGGGGAGCGAACAGG